rnacentral:rRNA from 1 species
UUGGAGGGCAAGUCUGGUGCCGGCAGCCGCGGUAAUUCCAGCUCCAAUAGCGUAUAUUAAAGUUGUUGCAGUUAAAAAGCUCGUAGUUGAAUUUCGGGGUCAGUAGGUCGGUCGUGCCACUGGUAUGAACUGGUUUUACUGAUUCCUCCCUCUUGAAGAACUGUAAUGCCAUUAAUUUGGUGUUGCAGGGAAUCAGGACUGUUACUUUGAAAAAAUUAGAGUGUUUAAAGCAGGCUUUAGCUUGAAUACAUUAGCAUGGAAUAAUGAAAUAGGACGUUUGAUCCUAUUUUGUUGGUUUCUAGGAUUGACGUAAUGAUUAAUAGGGAUAGUUGGGGGCAUUAGUAUUCAAUUGUCAGAGGUGAAAUUCUUGGAUUUAUUGAAGACUAACUACUGCGAAAGCAUUUGCCGAGGAUGUUUUCAUUAAUCAAGAACGAAAGUUAGGGGAUCGAAGACGAUCAGAUACCGUCGUAGUCUUAACCAUAAACUAUGCCGACUAGGGAUCGGAUGAUGUUAAUUUUUUAAUGACUCAUUCGGCGCCUUACGGGAAAC